AAUAAGCGGAGGAAAAGAAACUAACAAGGAUUCCCCUAGUAGCGGCGAGCGAAGCGGGAAGAGCUCAAAUUUAUAAUCUGGCACCUUCGGUGUCCGAGUUGUAAUCUCUAGAAGUGUUUUCCGCGUUGGACCGCACACAAGUCUGUUGGAAUACAGCGGCACAGUGGUGAUACCCCCGUACACGGUGCGGACGCCCAGCGCUUUGUGAUACACUUUCAAAGAGUCGAGUUGUUUGGGAAUGCAGCUCAAAUUGGGUGGUAAAUUCCAUCUAAAGCUAAAUAUUGGCGAGAGACCGAUAGCGAACAAGUACCGUGAGGGAAAGAUGAAAAGCACUUUGGAAAGAGAGUUAACAGUACGUGAAAUUGUUGGAAGGGAAACGCUUGAAGUCAGACUUGCUUGCCGGAGCUUGCUUCGGUUUGCAGGCCAGCAUCAGUUUUUCGGGGUGGAUAAUGGCGGUUUGAAGGUAGCAGUCUCGUGCUGUGUUAUAGCUUUCCGCUGGAUACACCCUGGGGGACUGAGGAACGCAGCGUGCUUUUAGCGAAGGUUUCGACCUUUUCACGCUUAGGAUGCUGGUGGAAUGGCUUUAAACGACCCGUCUUGAAACACG
rnacentral:rRNA from 1 species